rnacentral:rRNA from 1 species
GUCGAACGGCAGCACGGACUUCGGUCUGGUGGCGAGUGGCGAACGGGUGAGUAAUGUAUCGGAACGUGCCCAGUAGCGGGGGAUAACUACGCGAAAGCGUAGCUAAUACCGCAUACGCCCUACGGGGGAAAGCAGGGGAUCGCAAGACCUUGCACUAUUGGAGCGGCCGAUAUCGGAUUAGCUAGUUGGUGGGGUAACGGCUCACCAAGGCGACGAUCCGUAGCUGGUUUGAGAGGACGACCAGCCACACUGGGACUGAGACACGGCCCAGACUCCUACGGGAGGCAGCAGUGGGGAAUUUUGGACAAUGGGGGAAACCCUGAUCCAGCCAUCCCGCGUGUGCGAUGAAGGCCUUCGGGUUGUAAAGCACUUUUGGCAGGAAAGAAACGUCGUGGGUUAAUACCCCGCGAAACUGACGGUACCUGCAGAAUAAGCACCGGCUAACUACGUGCCAGCAGCCGCG